rnacentral:rRNA from 1 species
AACGAACGCUGGCGGCAUGCCUAACACAUGCAAGUCGAACGAGACCUUCGGGUCUAGUGGCGCACGGGUGCGUAACGCGUGGGAACCUGCCCUUAGGUUCGGAAUAACUCCCCGAAAGGGGUGCUAAUACCGGAUAAUGUCUUCGGACCAAAGAUUUAUCGCCUUUGGAUGGGCCCGCGUUGGAUUAGCUAGUUGGUAGGGUAAAAGCCUACCAAGGCGACGAUCCAUAGCUGGUCUGUGAGGAUGAUCAGCCACUCUGGGACUGAGACACGGCCCAGACUCCUACGGGAGGCAGCAGUGGGGAAUAUUGGACAAUGGGCGAAAGCCUGAUCCAGCAAUGCCGCGUGAGUGAUGAAGGCCUUAGGGUUGUAAAGCUCUUUUACCCGGGAUGAUAAUGACAGUACCGGGAGAAUAAGCUCCGGCUAACUCCGUG